AGUGCACUCCCUGGAAGAAAAAUGCCUGCUGUACUGCCGACACCAGCGAGGAAGCCCACAAGUAUAUUUCCAACCUGUAUAGAUUCAACUGGGACCACUGCAGAAAGAUGGCGCCCGCCUGCAAACGGCAUUUCAUCCAGGACACCUGCUUCUAUGAGUGCUCCCCUAACUUGGGGCCCUGGAUCAAGCAGGUGGACCAGAGCUGGCGCAAAGAGCGGAUGCUGAAUGUGCCCCUGUGCAAAGAGGACUGUGAGAGCUGGUGGGAGGAUUGUCGCUCCUCCUACACCUGCAAGGGCAAUUGGCACAAGGGCUGGAACUGGACCUCAGGGUAUAACCAGUGCCCAGUGAAAGGUGCCUGCCACCCCUUCCCUUUCUACUUCCCCACACCUGCUGAUCUGUGCAAUGAGAUCUGGAGUCACUCCUACAAAGUUAGCAACUACAGCCAAGGGAGCGGCCGCUGCAUCCAGAUGUGGUUUGACCCAGCCCAGCGCAACCCCAACGAGGAAGUGGCGAGGCUCUAUGCUGAGGUCCAGAGUGGGGCUGGGCUCCGUGGGGCCUGGGCUCCCCUGCUCAGCCUGGCCCUGACGCUGCUCUGGCUGCUCUGCUGAUCUCCUUUGCCUUUGACACCUGGACAUCCCUGCCCUGCUCGGCCCCACAGCUCCCAGCCAUUCAGUGCCUGCUCCACCGUUGGGCCUCUGACAGCCAGUUUAAAUAAACCAGACAC